rnacentral:rRNA from 1 species
UCGGGAAUUUUGGGCAAUGGGGGAAACCCUGACCCAGCAACGCCGCGUGAAGGAUGAAGUAUUUCGGUAUGUAAACUUCGAAAGAAUAGGAAGAAUAAAUGACGGUACUAUUUUAUAAGGUCCGGCUAACUACGUGCCAGCAGCCGCGGUAAUACGUAGGGACCAAGCGUUGUUCGGAUUUACUGGGCGUAAAGGGCGCGUAGGCGGCAUGACAAGUCACUUGUGAAAUCUCUGGGCUUAACCCAGAACGGCCAAGUGAUACUGUCGCGCUAGAGUGCAGAAGGGGCAAUCGGAAUUCUUGGUGUAGCGGUGAAAUGCGUAGAUAUCAAGAGGAACACCUGAGGUGAAGACGGGUUGCUGGGCUGACACUGACACUGAGGUGCGAAAGCGUGGGGAGCAAACAGGAUUAGAUACCCGUGUAG